rfam:Ictidomys tridecemlineatus contig093252, whole genome shotgun sequence.
UGUGCUAUGGCUCAGCGGUAGAGCACUCACCUAACACAUGCAAGGUCCUGAGUUUGAUCCUCAGCACCACAU